CGCGAAGUAGAGCAGCGGUAGCUCGUCGGGCUCAUAACCCGAAGGUCGGGAGUUCGAUCCUCCCCUUCGCAACCA
rnacentral:tRNA from 5 species